rnacentral:rRNA from 1 species
GAUGAACGCUGGCGGCGUGCCUAAUACAUGCAAGUCGAGCGAACAGACGAGGAGCUUGCUCCUCUGACGUUAGCGGCGGACGGGUGAGUAACACGUGGAUAACCUACCUAUAAGACUGGGAUAACUUCGGGAAACCGGAGCUAAUACCGGAUAAUAUAUUGAACCGCAUGGUUCAAUAGUGAAAGACGGUUUUGCUGUCACUUAUAGAUGGAUCCGCGCCGCAUUAGCUAGUUGGUAAGGUAACAGCUUACCAAGGCAACGAUGCGUAGCCGACCUGAGAGGGUGAUCGGCCACACUGGAACUGAGACACGGUCCAGACUCCUACGGGAGGCAGCAGUAGGGAAUCUUCCGCAAUGGGCGAAAGCCUGACGGAGCAACGCCGCGUGAGUGAUGGAGGUCUUCGGAUCGUAAAACUCUGUUAUUAGGGAAGAACAAAUGUGCAAGUAACUAUGCACGUCUUGACGGUACCUAAUCAGAAAGCCACGGCUAACUACGUG